UUGGAGGGCAAGUCUGGUGCCAGCAGCCGCGGUAAUUCCAGCUCCAAUAGCGUAUAUUAAAGUUGUUGCAGUUAAAAAGCUCGUAGUUGAAUUUCGGGAUUGACGUGAUGGUCAUGCCUUAAGGGGUAUGAACUGUUACUGUUGAUUUCUCACCUUCUGGAGAAACUUGAUGUCCUUUAUUGGGUGUCUUGCGGAUCCAGGACCUUUACCGUGAAAAAAUUAGAGUGUUUAAAGCAGGCAUUUUUGCUCGAAUACAUUAGCACGGAAUAAUAGAAUAGGACGGCAUGGUUCUAUUUUGUUGGUUUCUAGGAUCACCGUAAUGAUUAAUAGGGAUAGUUGGGGGCAUUAGUAUUCAAUUGUCAGAGGUGAAAUUCUUGGAUUUAUUGAAGACUAACUACUGCGAAAGCAUUUGCCAAGGAUGUUUUCAUUAAUCAAGAACGAAAGUUAGGGGAUCGAAGACGAUCAGAUACCGUCGUAGUCUUAACCAUAAACUAUGCCGACUAGGAAUCAGACGAUGUUAAUUUUUUAAUGACUCGUUUGGCACCUUACGGGAAACCAAAGUGUUUGGGUUC
rnacentral:rRNA from 1 species